UACGGGGGGUGCGAGCGUUGUCCGGAAUCACUGGGCGUAAAGGGUGCGUAGGCGGGUCUUUUAAGUCAGGGGUGAAAUCCUGGAGCUCAACUCCAGAACUGCCUUUGAUACUGAAGAUCUUGAGUUCGGGAGAGGUGAGUGGAACUGCGAGUGUAGAGGUGAAAUUCGUAGAUAUUCGCAAGAACACCAGUGGCGAAGGCGGCUCACUGGCCCGAUACUGACGCUGAGGUGCGAAAGCGUGGGGAGCAAACAGGG
rnacentral:rRNA from 1 species